CAAGUCAAUCUUCGAAAAUACUGCCGCCCCGCUGAGUUUAAGCAU
rnacentral:rRNA from 1 species